rnacentral:tRNA from 2 species
UGCAAGGUAAACUAAUGAAGUUGGUGGGCUCAUAACCCAAGCAUGCCUUUAUUUGGCUCUUGCAA